CAUGCAAGUCGAACGGGAUUAGGGAGCUUGCUCCCUAUGAGAGUGGCGCACGGGUGCGUAACACGUAUGCAACCUACCUUCAACCGGGGGAUAGCCUUCCGAAAGGAAGAUUAAUACCGCAUAACAUUAUGAGAUGGCAUCAUUUUAUAAUCAAAUCUACGGAAGUUGAAGAUGGGCAUGCGUCCGAUUAGCUAGUUGGAGAGGUAACGGCUCACCAAGGCUACGAUCGGUAGGGGAUCUGAGAGGAUGACCCCCCACACUGGUACUGAGACACGGACCAGACUCCUACGGGAGGCAGCAGUAAGGAAUAUUGGUCAAUGGACGCAAGUCUGAACCAGCCAUGCCGCGUGCAGGAAGACGGCCCUAUGGGUUGUAAACUGCUUUUGUCGGGGAAGAAACCCCUCUACGUGUAGAGGGCUGACGGUACUCGAAGAAUAAGGAUCGGCUAACUCCGUGCCAGCAGCCGCGGUAAUACGGAGGAUCCAAGCGUUAUCCGGAAUCAUUGGGUUUAAAGGGUCCGUAGGCGGCUUAAUAAGUCAGUGGUGAAAGCCCUACGCUUAACGUAGGAACGGCCAUUGAUACUGUUAGGCUUGAAUUAUUAGGAAGUAACUAGAAUAUGUAGUGUAGCGGUGAAAUGCUUAGAGAUUACAUGGAAUACCAAUUGCGAAGGCAGGUUACUACUAAUGGAUUGACGCUGAUGGACGAAAGCGUGGGUAGCGAACAGGAUUAGAUACCCUGGUAGUCCACGCCGUANACGAUGGAUACUAGCUGUUGGAAGCAAUUUCAGUGGCUAAGCGAAAGUGAUAAGUAUCCCACCUGGGGAGUACGUUCGCAAGAA
rnacentral:rRNA from 1 species